rnacentral:tRNA from 1 species
GCCCACGUGGCUCAGUCAGUUGAGCACCUGACUCUUGAUUUCAUCUCAGGUCAUAGUCUCAUGGGUCGUGGGUUCGAGCCCUGCAUUGGGCU